rnacentral:rRNA from 1 species
GACGAACGCUGGCGGCGUGCUUAACACAUGCAAGUCGAGCGGCGCGGCGAACGGGUGAGUAACGCGUGAGUAACUGCCCCCCUCUCUGGGGUAACAGUUGGAAACGGCUGCUAAUACCGGAUAGUGGGGGAUGACUCGCGUCCUAUCAGCUUGUUGGUGGGGUAGUGGCCUACCACGGCGACGACGGGUAGCCGGCCUGGGAGGACGACCGGCCACAUUGGGCUGAGAUAGGGCCCAAACUCCUACGGGAGGCAUCAGGGGCGAAUAUUGCACAAUGGUGCAAACCCUGAUGAAGCAACGCCGCGGUCGGGAUGUCGGCCUUCGGGUUGUAAACCGCUUUCAGCCAUGACGCGGUAGUGGCAGAAGAAGCACCGGCUAACUACGUGCCAGCAGCCGCGGUAAUUC